rnacentral:sRNA from 1 species
GGAUCUGUCCUCCUGGACAUGCUGAAAGACCGAUGCUUGGGGACCUGCGGCCGAAGGCAUCUGCUUGCCUGGUCCCCAAGCACU